CGCAUCAAGCCUUAGAAGUUUACUGUAGCAGUUUGAGUCAACGCCGAUUUCUUCCUAUUCCGGCCACGUCCGACGACGAACCAUAAUCAUUUGGAAGCGGCUUGCGAUGUAGAUGAUGCUCCCCAAAUCUUUUGCAACGAUUUGCAGUGUAGAGGAAGAAUCGACGAUUGGAAGAUUACGGUCACUAUUCACAGUUUGAGUUCAAGCUUCUCCUUAAUUGUUGAGGGCAAUGCCGCGAGCUACGGUUAAAUGAAGGAACUCGUUUGCGUGGUCGCCCAAUAGUACUUUUGCAGGCGAAAUUAGUUGAGGUCGGGCGUACAUGGAGUCGAGGCAUAGCCAACAGCAUUGCUUCCGCGUACUCAUUCUAUUUCUGUUUUCUUUGUUACUUAGUGGAUUAGUAUUGCUCUGAUAACCUAUGGGAUUAAUAUUGUUUUUGGGUUGAGACUGAUAUUUGUGAAAUUGGAGUUGUGAUUUGGGGAGCAGAUGGCUCCAGAAGAUUAAGGAUGGAUGAUUUAGAAGUGUAAA